AGUGAACGCUGGCGGUAGGCCUAACACAUGCAAGUCGAACGGCAGCACAGUAAGAGCUUGCUCUUACGGGUGGCGAGUGGCGGACGGGUGAGGAAUACAUCGGAAUCUACUUUUUCGUGGGGGAUAACGUAGGGAAACUUACGCUAAUACCGCAUACGACCUACGGGUGAAAGCAGGGGAUCUUCGGACCUUGCGCGAUUGAAUGAGCCGAUGUCGGAUUAGCUAGUUGGCGGGGUAAAGGCCCACCAAGGCGACGAUCCGUAGCUGGUCUGAGAGGAGGAUCAGCCACACUGGAAGUGAGACACGGUCCAGACUCCUGCGGGAGGCAACAGUCGGGAAUAGUGGACAAUGGGCGCAAGCCUGAUCCAACCCUACCGCGUGGGUGAAGAAGGCCUUCGGGUGGUAAAGCCCUUUUGUUGGGAAAGAAAAGCAGCAGGUUAAUACCCCGCUGUUCUGACGGUACCCAAAGAAUAAGCACCGGCUAACUUCGCG
rnacentral:rRNA from 1 species